rnacentral:rRNA from 1 species
CAGCCUGCCCAGUGACCAAAAGUUAAACGGCCGCGGUAUCCUAACCGUGCGAAGGUAGCACAAUCACUUGUUCUUUAAAUCAGGACCAGUAUGAAUGGCCUCACGAGAGCUACACUGUCUCCCCCCUUUAAUCAG